AGUGGAUGGGGAGCAACCUAGUUGUGCGUGUGUAAAGGUAGUGCCAAGAAAAGCGAUGAUCAUGUUGAAAAUCAAUUCCCGGUACCCGAAACCGACACAGGUGGGCAAGUAGAGAAUACUAAGGGGCGCGAGGUAACUCUCUCCAAGGAACUCGGCAAAAUGACCCCGUAACUUAGGGAGAAGGGGUGCCACCGAGAGGUGGUCGCAGUGAAGAGGCCCAGGCGACUGUUUAGCAAAAACAUAGGUCUCUGCAAACUCGAAAGAGGAGGUAUAGGGGCUGACGCCUGCCCAGUGCCGGAAGGUUAAAGAAGUUGGUCAGUCUUAGGAUGAAGCUAGCGACUGAAGCCCCGGUGAACGGCGGCCGUAACUAUAACGGUCCUAAGGUAGCGAAAUUCCUUGUCGGGUAAGUUCCGACCCGCACGAAAGGCGUAACGAUCUGGGCGCUGUCUCGGAGAGAGGCUCGGCGAAAUAGGAUUGUCUGUGAAGAUACGGACUACCUGCAUUUGGACAGAAAGACCCUAUGAAGCUUUACUAUAGCUUGGAAUUGUGUUCGGGCUUCCUGUGCGCAGGAUAGGUGGGAGGCGUAGAAGGUAUUCUUGUGGGGAUACUGGAGCCAACGGUGAGAUACCACUCUCAGGAGGCUAGAAUUCUAACUUAAUUAAGGACAGUUUCAGGUGGGUAGUUUGACUGGGGCGGUCGCCUCCAAAAAGGUAACGGAGGCGUACAAAGGUUCCCUCAGACUGGUUGGAAAUCAGUCGAAGAGUGCAAAGGCAGAAGGGAGCUUGACUGCGAGAAGUACAGUUCGAGCAGGGUGGAAACACGGUCUUAGUGAUCCGACGGUGCUGUGUGGAAGGGCCGUCGCUCAACGGAUAAAAGUUACUCUAGGAUAACAGGCUGAUCUCCCCCAAGAGUUCACAUCGACGGGGAGGUUUGGCACCUCGAUGUCGGCUCAUCGCAACCUGGGGCGGAAGUACGUCCCAAGGGUUGGGCUGUUCGCCCAUUAAAGCGGUACGUGUGCUGGGUUCAGAACGUCGUGAGACAGUUCGGUCCAUAUCCGAUGUAGGCGUGAGAAUAUUGAGAGGAGCCUUCCUUAGUACGAGAGGACCGGGAAGGACGCACCGCUGGUGUACCUGUUAUGAUGCCAAUUGUAAACGCAGGGUAGCCAAGUGCGGAGAGGAUAACCGCUGAAAGCAUCUAAGUGGGAAGCCCACCUCAAGAUGAGUAUUCUGGUGUAAGGUCACGGGAAGACGACCCGUAAAUAGGCACGAGGUGGAAGUGCAGAGAUGUAUGAAGCCGAAGUGUACUAAUAGACCGUCGGCUUGA
rnacentral:rRNA from 1 species